UACGUAGGGGGCAAGCGUUGUCCGGAUUUAUUGGGCGUAAAGAGCGUGUAGGCGGCUUGACAGGUCUGCUGUGAAAACUCGAGGCUUAACCUCGAGAUGUCAUCGGAAACCAUUUGGCUAGAGUCCGGAAGAGGAGAGUGGAAUUCCUGGUGUAGCGGUGAAAUGCGCAGAUAUCAGGAAGAACACCAAUGGCGAAAGCAGCUCUCUGGGACGGUACUGACGCUGAGACGCGAAAGCGUGGGGAGCGAACAGG
rnacentral:rRNA from 1 species